ncrna:Paralichthys olivaceus (Japanese flounder) microRNA pol-mir-144 precursor
GCGGGGAUAUCAUCUUAUACUGUAAGUUUAUUAUAGAGACACUACAGUAUAGAUGAUGUACUAUCCCG